rnacentral:lncRNA from 1 species
AGGGGGUAGUUUCAUAUGCUCGCAAGAUUCGUGUGAGGAUAAUUUGGCAUUGCAUCGUGUGUAUGGCUCAUGUGGGAAAGCAUUAUAACAUUUGUAACCGUAAAGGUAACGGUAAUCAUGAGUAGCUGGACAUCCUUCAUCAUAUGGCUCAUUCUUCUUUAAUGUUAGAGCAUCUCUAAUGUAUGUGUCUAUAUUUAAAAUAGAGAUCUCUAUUAUAGAGAUGAAUUUGCUCCAAUGUAUAACUUUAUAAUAGAGUUCUUCUAUUUUAGAAGAAAAUAUAGAGAAAUAUUACUUUUUACCUCUAUAUUUAAAGAUGAAAAUAACGCAUCUCUAUAUUUUCCUCUAUAAAUAGAGAAACUCUAUUAUAGAAGCAUACAUUGGAGCAAAUUCACCUCUAUAAUAG